rnacentral:rRNA from 1 species
UACAGAGGGUGCAAGCGUUGUUCGGAAUCACUGGGCGUAAAGGGCGCGUAGGUGGCGCGGGCAGUCAACGGUGAAAGUUCGGGGCUCAACCCUGAAUCGGCCGUCGAUACUCCCGGGCUGGAGCACUGUAGAGGCUAAUGGAAUUCCGGGUGUAGCGGUGGAAUGCGUAGAGAUCCGGAAGAACAUCGGUGGCGAAGGCGGUUAGCUGGGCAGUUGCUGACACUGAGGCGCGAAAGCGUGGGGAGCGAACCGGG